GCUCUUUACAGUGACUUAAUAUUCACCUGAAAUAUUCUUGGUCGCAGAACCCAAAGUGAGAACUCAGUGGCCUGGCCAAAAUGUAGUGAACCAAUUUUUUGCCUUCUUUCCCUCUCUAUAGAAGUCAGCAAGAAGAAAGUUGUUCAGAAACAAAGCAGAGUCAAAACACCCAAAGUGAAGCAGAAUGCACCUGUCAGGAGAAGUCUACGUAUUAAAAAAGAGAGUGACAAGUAGAUAUGGAACAGUCUGUUUAACUAUAUGUAACUUUUAACUAUAACAUAUAUAAUAGUGUGUUUUUAAACUUCUAGAGUGACACAAUGUUACAAUUCAUAGUCUGGGACGGAUCUAUGGGGGUUCGGGGGGUUUGGUUGAAAGCCCUAAAGUAGACAAAAUGAGACAUUAUAACGCGCUAACUUGGCCCGAGAAAGCGGAAAUUUUCUGGGGGAAGAUGCCCCCAGACUCCCCCACUGGCAACAGCCUUUGGUAAAUGCAUGUGGAGAAAAAGUAGAACAAUGAUGGUUAUAAUGCGGUCCAUAACGUUAACAAAACCCAAAGAAACAAUUAGGUGUACAGACGCGACGUGUCUGUCAACCUAACACUGGCUCGUGUGCUGUACAAAUAAACUAAAACGCUUGGAGACUUUG